rnacentral:siRNA from 1 species
UACUAGGAUGGGUGACCUCCCAG